rnacentral:rRNA from 1 species
UACGUAGGGGGCUAGCGUUGUCCGGAAUCAUUGGGCGUAAAGCGCGUGUAGGCGGCCAACUAAGUCGGACGUGAAAUCCCUCAGCUUAACUGGGGAACUGCGUCCGAUACUGGAUGGCUUGGAUUUGGGAGAGGGAUGCGGAAUUCCAGGUGUAGCGGUGAAAUGCGUAGAUAUCUGGAGGAACACCGGUGGCGAAGGCGGUAUCCUGGACCAAUAUUGACGCUGAGGAGCGAAAGCUAGGGGAGCAAACGGG